AGAGUUUGAUCCUGGCUCAGAGCGAACGCUGGCGGCAGGCUUAACACAUGCAAGUCGAACGGGCCCUUCGGGGUCAGUGGCAGACGGGUGAGUAACACGUGGGAACGUGCCCUUCGGUUCGGAACAACUCAGGGAAACUUGAGCUAAUACCGGAUACGCCCUUCGGGGGAAAGAUUUAUCGCUGAAGGAUCGGCCCGCGUCUGAUUAGCUAGUUGGUGAGGUAAUGGCUCACCAAGGCGACGAUCAGUAGCUGGUCUGAGAGGAUGAUCAGCCACACUGGGACUGAGACACGGCCCAGACUCCUACGGGAGGCAGCAGUGGGGAAUAUUGGACAAUGGGCGCAAGCCUGAUCCAGCCAUGCCGCGUGAGUGAUGAAGGCCUUAGGGUUGUAAAGCUCUUUCGUCCGGGACGAUAAUGACGGUACCGGAAGAAGAAGCCCCGGCUAACUUCGUGCCAGCAGCCGCGGUAAUACGAAGGGGGCUAGCGUUGCUCGGAAUCACUGGGCGUAAAGGGCGCGUAGGCGGCCAUUCAAGUCAGAGGUGAAAGCCCAAGGCUCAACCUUGGAAUUGCCUUUGAUACUGUUUGGCUUGAGACCGGAAGAGGUAAGUGGAACUGCGAGUGUAGAGGUGAAAUUCGUAGAUAUUCGCAAGAACACCAGUGGCGAAGGCGGCUUACUGGUCCGGUUCUGNNGCUGAGGCGCGAAAGCGUGGGGAGCAAACAGGAUUAGAUACCCUAGUAGUCC
rnacentral:rRNA from 1 species